rnacentral:rRNA from 1 species
UACGAAGGGGGCUAGCGUUGUUCGGAAUCACUGGGCGUAAAGCGCACGUAGGCGGAUUGUUAAGUUCGGGGGUGAAAUCCUGAGGCUCAACCUCAGAACUGCCUUCGAUACUGGCAAUCUCGAGUCCGGAAGAGGUUGGUGGAACAGCUAGUGUAGAGGUGAAAUUCGUAGAUAUUAGCUAGAACACCAGUGGCGAAGGCGGCCAACUGGUCCGGUACUGACGCUGAGGUGCGAAAGCGUGGGGAGCAAACAGG